CCAGACUCCUACGGGAGGCAGCAGUGAGGAAUAUUGGUCAAUGGCCGGAAGGCUGAACCAGCCAAGCCGCGUGAAGGACGAAGGUGCCAAGCAUUGUAAACUUCUUUUGUCAAGGGACAAAAUCAGGCUCGAGAGCCUGACCGAGGGUACUUGAAGAAAAAGCAUCGGCUAACUCCGUGCCAGCAGCCGCGGUAAUACGGAGGAUGCGAGCGUUAUCCGGAUUUAUUGGGUUUAAAGGGUGCGUAGGCGGGCGGUUAGGACAGGGGUAAAAGCCCGGGGCUCAACCCCGGCGAGCCGUUGAAACUGGCUGUCUUGAGAUGUCGAGAGGUAUGCGGAAUGCGCAGUGUAGCGGUGAAAUGCUUAGAUAUCACGCAGAACCCCGAUUGCGAAGGCAGCAUACCGGUGCACAACUGACGCUCAGGCACGAAAGCGUGGGUAUCGAACAGGAUUAGAUACCCCUGUA
rnacentral:rRNA from 1 species